rnacentral:rRNA from 1 species
AAGGUAGCAUAAUCACUUGGCUUUUAAUUGGAGUCUGGUAUGAACGAUUGUAUGGGGAAUAGCUGUCUCAUGCUAAUGCAUUAAAUUAUUUAAUAAGUGAAAAUGCUUAUAUUACAUAACAGACGAGAAGACCCUAGAAAUUUUUUUGUUGGGGCGACAGUGUAACAAUUACUUACAUUAUAUACGUGACAUUAUUUUGAAAGAUUAAAUUACUCUAGGGAUAACAGCAUAAAGUUUGUGACCUCGAUGUUGGAUUAGGAAUUUAUAGUUUAGAAGAUAAAUAUUUUGCUCUGUUCGCGCAUAUUUCCU